rnacentral:rRNA from 1 species
GGUUAAGCGACUAAGCGUACACGGUGGAUGCCCUGGCAGUCAGAGGCGAUGAAGGACGUGCUAAUCUGCGAAAAGCGCCGGCGAGGUGAUAUGAACCUUUGACCCGGCGAUGUCCGAAUGGGGAAACCCAGUGCAAUCCGUUGCACUAUCGUUAACUGAAUACAUAGGUUAACGAGGCGAACCGGGGGAACUGAAACAUCUAAGUACCCCGAGGAAAAGAAAUCAACCGAGAUUCCCCCAGUAGCGGCGAGCGAACGGGGAGCAGCCCGGAGUCUGAAUCAGCUUGUGUGUUAGUGGAACGGUCUGGAAAGUCCGACGGUACAGGGUGAUAGUCCCGUACACGAAAGCACACAUGCUGUGAACUCGAAGAGUAGGGCGGGACACGUGGUAUCCUGUCUGAAUAUGGGGGGACCAUCCUCCAAGGCUAAAUACUCCUGACUGACCGAUAGUGAACCAGUACCGUGAGGGAAAGGCGAAAAGAACCCCGGCGAGGGGAGUGAAAAAGAACCUGAAACCGUGUACGUACAAGCAGUGGGAGCCUCUUUAUGGGGUGACUGCGUACCUUUUGUAUAAUGGGUCAGCGACUUAUAUUCUGUAGCAAGGUUAACCGUAUAGGGGAGCCGAAGGGAAACCGAGUCUUAACUGGGCGUUAAGUUGCAGGGUAUAGACCCGAAACCCGGUGAUCUAGCCAUGGGCAGGUUGAAGGUUGGGUAACACUAACUGGAGGACCGAACCGACUAAUGUUGAAAAAUUAGCGGAUGACCUGUGGCUGGGGGUGAAAGGCCAAUCAAACCGGGAGAUAGCUGGUUCUCCCCGAAAGCUAUUUAGGUAGCGCCUCGUGAACUCAUCUUCGGGGGUAGAGCACUGUUUCGGCUAGGGGGCCAUCCCGGCUUACCAACCCGAUGCAAACUACGAAUACCGAAGAAUGUUAUCACGGGAGACACACGGCGGGUGCUAACGUCCGUCGUGAAGAGGGAAACAACCCAGACCGCCAGCUAAGGUCCCAAAGUCAUGGUUAAGUGGGAAACGAUGUGGGAAGGCACAGACAGCCAGGAUGUUGGCUUAGAAGCAGCCAUCAUUUAAAGAAAGCGUAAUAGCUCACUGGUCGAGUCGGCCUGCGCGGAAGAUGUAACGGGGCUAAACCAUGCACCGAAGCUGCGGCAGCGACGCUUAGGCGUUGUUGGGUAGGGGAGCGUUCUGUAAGCCGU